UCACUGGUGUUCGGGUUGUCAUGCCAAUGGCACUGCCCGGUAGCUAAAUGCGGAAGAGAUAAGUGCUGAAAGCAUCUAAGCACGAAACUUGCCCCGAGAUGAGUUCUCCCUGAGACUUAGAGUCUCCUGAAGGAACGUUGAAGACGACGACGUUGAUAGGCCGGGUGUGUAAGCGCAGCGAUGCGUUGAGCUAACCGGUACUAAUGAACCGUGAGGCUUAACCUUACAACGCCGAAGAUGUUUUG
rnacentral:rRNA from 1 species